UCUACCAGGCCGGUAGGAAACAUUUCCCUUAGAACACCGCUGACGGAAGUCACGGCGGAACAGAAGUUGCACGCCUAGGCGCGCAGCGGAGGACGCCGGAGAGAGACCCACACCAGCUGACAGAGCUUCCGGUUCGGACGCGGGACCUCGCAGUUGUGGGAGACUUGGGACCACAGGUGCCAUGCAGCCUUUACAAUGUGUCCUCCAAGCACAGAGGUCUCUAAAGUGGGGGCCGCUUACCUCUGUGUCCUGGCCGCUGCUCAGGACCUGCAGGGCACAUAGCAGUGUCCCCACCACUUCAUGUCUCAGUCCAGAGGGGCAGAGCUCAGAAGGUGUUCAGAAGGAUUUCAGCUCCAGGCUAGCCACCGGACCAACUUUUCAGCAUUUUUUAAGAAGUGCUUCGGUUCUUCAAGAGAAACCAUCUUCUCCAGAAGUGGAGGACCCACCCCCCUAUCUCACGGGGGAUGAACUCCUAGGAAGGCAGAGAAAAGUCUACCUCGAGACCUAUGGCUGCCAGAUGAAUGUAAAUGACACGGAGAUAGCCUGGUCCAUCUUACAGAAGAGCGGCUACCUGCGGACCAGCAACCUUCAAGAGGCUGAUGUGAUCCUUCUUGUCACGUGUUCUAUCAGGGAGAAGGCUGAGCAGACCAUCUGGAACCGUUUACAUCAGCUGAAAGCCCUGAAGACAAAGAGACCACGCUCCCGGGUACCUCUGAGGAUUGGGAUUCUAGGCUGCAUGGCUGAGAGACUGAAGGGAGAGAUCCUCAACAGGGAGAAAAUGGUGGAUCUCUUGGCUGGUCCAGAUGCCUAUCGAGACCUUCCCCGGCUGCUGGCUGUUGUGGAGUCAGGCCAGCAGGCAGCAAAUGUGCUUCUCUCUCUGGAUGAGACCUAUGCGGAUAUCAUGCCAGUCCAGACGAGCCCCAGUGCCACUUCUGCCUUUGUGUCAAUCAUGCGGGGCUGUGACAACAUGUGUAGUUACUGCAUCGUUCCUUUCACCCGUGGCCGGGAGAGGAGUCGGCCUGUUGCCUCCAUUCUGGAGGAAGUGAGGAAGCUUUCUGAGCAGGGGCUAAAAGAAGUGACUCUUCUUGGUCAGAAUGUUAAUAGUUUUCGGGACAAUUCAGAGGUCCAGUUCAAUAAUGCAGUGUCUACCAACCUCAGCCGUGGCUUUACUACCAACUAUAAAACCAAACAAGGGGGGCUUCGUUUUUCUCAUCUUCUGGAUCAGGUUUCAAGAAUAGACCCUGAAAUGAGGAUCCGUUUCACCUCUCCCCACCCCAAGGAUUUUCCUGAUGAGGUUCUACAGUUGAUUCAUGAGAGACACAACAUCUGUAAGCAGAUCCACCUGCCAGCCCAGAGUGGAAGCAACCGUGUGCUGGAUGCCAUGCGGAGAGGAUACUCAAGGGAAGCUUAUGUGGCGUUGGUUCAUCAUAUCAGAGAAUGUAUCCCAGGUGUGAGCCUCAGCAGUGACUUCAUCACUGGCUUCUGUGGAGAGACAGAGGAUGAUCACCUGCAGACAGUGUCUUUACUUCAAGAAGUUCAGUAUAAUACUGGUUUUCUCUUCGCAUACAGCAUGAGGCAGAAGACACGAGCAUAUCAUAGGCUGAAGGAUGAUGUUCCAGAAGAAGUAAAAUUAAGACGUCUGGAGGAACUUAUUACUGUCUUCAGAGAAGAGGCUUCAAAAGCCAAUCAGACCUCAGUGGGCUGCACCCAGCUGGUGCUGGUUGAGGGGUUCAGCAAACGUUCUUCCACAGACCUGUGUGGCCGGAAUGAUGCAAACCUCAAAGUGAUCUUCCCUGAUGCAGAGGUGGAGGAUGUCACUAACUCUGGGCUCAAGGUCAGAGCUCAGCCUGGGGACUAUGUGCUGGUGAAGAUGGAGAACCCAAGGCUCAAGAGGACCAGGCAGUCUGCUCAAAGCCAGGCAGCCAGCAAGAGGAGUUGGGCACUUGAGCUCAGUCUGCCUUUGGCCCCUUCAGUGAGUUCCAGCUGUCUGUUCGCACCUGAUUCCAGCUGGCCCCAUGAAUCUGGUGUCUGCCUGCUCUUCCCUGCUUGCCUUAGAACUGUCCUUAGUAAAGGACCAGGCUGGGAGGGGGAGGCGAAGGGGGAGAUUGGGAGGGAAUUGCAGGAGGGGGAGGCAGAGGGAGAGGCAGGAAAGUCUUCUCCAGUUGGUGACCAGGAAGGCUCCUUGGAGCAGAAAGAAUUUGAACUAGGUUUGGAAGAUGGGUGGGUGUGGUAGUUUGAAAAAAAAAUGAUCCCCAAAGGGAGUGGCACUAGGAGGUGUGGUCUUGUUGAAGGAAGUGUGUCACUGUGCGGGUGGGCUUUGAUUUUGCCUAUGCUUAAGCUACCCCCAGUGUCACAGUCCACUUCCUGUUGCCUUCUGAUCAAGAUAUAGCCAGCACCAUGUCUGCCUGCACACCACCAAACUCCCUGCCAUGAUAAUGGACUAAACCUCUGAACUGUAAGUGAGCCACUCCAAUUAGAUGUUUUCCUUAUAAGAGUUGCCAUGGUCAUGGUAUCUCUUCACAGCAAUAGAAAUCUUAACUAAGACAGAAGUUGGCACCAGGGACCGGGGUAUUGUUGUGAUAGGCCUGACCAUGUUUUUAUUGGAGGAAUUUGGACUUUGGUACUUUGGGUUGGGAAAGCAGUGGAAUGCUCUAAACCCUGCUUAAUGGGCCAUACUAGUAGGAGCAUGGAAGACAGUGGUGCUGAGAACGAUUUGAACUGUGGGGAUCAGAGAAUGUUAGCAUGUGGCCUAGAGGCUGUUCUUUGUUCUUGGGAUAUUCUGGUGAGGGAAGUGGCUGCUUUUUACCUUGUCCUAAGAGUCUGCCUGAGACUAAAAUGAAGAGUUUUGGAUUAAUUCUUAUGGUAGAGGGAAUCUCAAACAGCCUAGUAUAGACUCUGUUGUGUGGUUACUAGCGUUAACUCUGAUGAAGAUUAAUAAUGAAAAGUAGCAAGCUGAGCAAAUAAAAAAUACAAAAUGUACAGAUUGAGAAAAGGGGCACCAGAAAGUGGAAUAGAGAUAAAUCCUGUGUUCAAAGAGAUAAACAGAUUAACAAAUGGAAUAAAGGGAGUGAAGACCUCAGGACACUAUCCCACCCAGCUAAGUUUCCUACUUGUGAAAAGGAAUUAAAGGAAGUCUUAGAGCCAGGUGUGGUAGUGCACAUGCCUUUAAUCCCAGCACUCCAGAGGCAGGGGCUGGUGGAUCUCUGAGUUUGAGGCCAGCCUGGUCUAUAGAGCAAGUUCCAGAACAGCCAAGUUACCUUAGGCAAUGAAGGUAACCAUCAAAAACAGAAAGAUGGUGAAGAUUGAGUAAGGAGGCCAUGUUCCAGCCCCAGCAAGCAGCAGAACUUGGCAGCUUCAGGCAUGUAGUUCUGGCUUUAGAGUUUAGGAUAGAAGAAAGGGGCAAUGGAAUUUGCCUCCACAUCUAAGGAAAGUCACUGAGGCCAGGCAUGUGUCAGGGAUGUCCCUGAAUGGAGGCCUAGAGAGGCCAUUGCAUAAAGCUGUAAAGUUGAAGCCUAGAUUGCCUUGGAGAUUCCAAGAUGUUGGAGAUGCCAGAGUCAUGGGAUACCUGCUGAGGAAAGCUGCAAACAGGGAGUAGAACCUGUGGUGAUAUUUUAAUUGUGCUGAAAUGUGAUUUUAUUUGUAUGUUAAUAAAUAAAGUUUGCCUGGAGAUCAGAGGUCACAUAGUGAGGUCACAUAGAGAGCCAUAAGCAGAGUCAGGCAGUGGUAGCACAUGCCCUUAAUCUGAUCACAUGGCAGGCAGAGUCUCUGUGUGGUCAAGGACACAGCCAAGCAUGGUGACACGAGCCUUUAAUUCCAGUACCAACCAUAGAGACCUGGAGGUCUGUAUAGACAGGCAGUGACAAGGAAGUCAUGUGACUUGUCUUAGAGCCAAUGAGAAGGCAGAACAGAAAGGCAAUAAAAACACAAGUCAGACAGGAAGAAGCUCUCUCUGGGGAAGUAACAGUGGCGGUGAGGUGGUAAGAUAAGGUAUUCGUGGCUCUUUGCUAGUUCUCUGAUCUCUUUGGCUAUUACCUCUGUAUUUGGCUCUGUGUUUCUUAUCGAAUAAGACUGUUUAGAAAUUGGACUACAGGAACCAGCCCAAGAGAAAGAAGUGUGUUGCAGUCAACAAAGCUGAACGGAGUUGAAGAUCUGAAGAGCACUUUGACAUCAGACAUGGAGAUGCAGAGUUUGGAGUUUGUCCAGCUGGUUUUUUGGUCUUGCUUUGGUCCAGUAUUUCCUCUCUAUGCUCCCUUCUCUACACUUUGGAAUAAUAAUGUAUAUCCUGUGACAUUAUAUGUUGGAAGUAUGUCAUCUAUUCUUUGAUUUUUGAUUUUAUAGGGGAUUAUUGUUAAGAGAUUUUGUGAAUCUCAGAAGAGACUUUGAACCUUAGACUUUUAAAUAAAUUUGAGACUGUUAUAGACUAUAGGGACUUUUGAAGUUGAACUGAAUGCAGUUUUACAUUAUGCUAUAGCUAUAAGCCUUUAGGGGACUAGGGAGUGGAAUUUGGUGGUUUGAAAGAAAAUGGCCCCCCAAAGGGAGUACCACUAUUAGGAGGUGUGGCCUUGUUGGGGGAGGUGUGUCACUGUAGUGGUAGGAUUUGAGUUCUAUGCUUAAGCUCCUCCCAAUGUCACAGAUCACUUCCUGUUGCCUUCUGAUCAAGAUGUAGCCAACAUCAUGUCUGCCUGCACACCAUCAUGCUCCCUGCCAUGAUGACAAUGGACUAAACCUCUGACCUGUAGUUCGCUCAGCAUCUACUGUUGUCUACCGCUCUCGAGGUCUGUUGCUCUUGCCUACUGUCUGUUUGGUGGCAGUACCACACAGGAGCAUGCUACUGUGAACCUUCUUCCAGUUCUGCGCCCUGACACCACUUCACUAGACUCGGAUCAGCCUGGAGAUCUGUGCUGACGUUCGGAUGCCGGGAGCUGACAGGUCCCUGGAGGGGUGACAUGCACUCUUAUGAGUGGGUCAUUCUUGAUGCCUGGAAAGUGUCAUCAGCAGCAUUUCCAGACCAGGAAAGUGAGACAUGGGAAGGCGACUUGGCCAACAUCACCCAGGCGGUCAAGGAAGAAGGGUCUGCUGACACCUGUGUUUAGGUGCCAUCUUUUCCUGUCCACAACCUCCUCAGAGGACCCCCACCUACCAGCUGCUGAGAUUCCCAAUUAUCAGCAUGCGUUUUGGCCCAUGAAGCCACCUUGGGAAACUUGAGUCAUCCAGGAGAACGAGGCAACCAGGAGGUCAACCCUUGAUAAAGGCGAGCCAGGAUCACCACUGGUGAGUGGGGCACUGGCUGUGACCCCCUGCUCUCUUCUGGUGUGCCUCUCCCACCCCCAUCCCUCUUCAUUCCUCUCUGCUGCUUCUGUCAGAGACUGUUCCAUUUCUCUAGAGUAGACCUGACUUCUGGUCAUUCUUCACCUCUGUCUCUGUCCCCCCAGAUCUCCACAAAUGGUGCCUCUGGCUACCUCUCCUCUUUCCCUCUGCUGCCCAGGCCUUCCCUCAGGUCUCCUCAUUUAUUCUUCACAGGCCUCCCUGACUUCCACCUAGCCUGUCAGAUUGAUUUCUUGUCACUAACCAGAGCCAUCUUUCCUAACCCUAGUAACUUACUACAGACCUUUUCGAACAGUGUAUCAGGUGCUGCUGGGUCGCUAUGGAUACCUGUCUCUGCUUGCUUCAUUCCCUGCCAUCUGCCUAUAGUACUACUGGUUGAGGUGUUUCAAAGAAAGCUGCAGAUGCCUGUGCCCUUUCCCUCUAUACUCUGGCGAUGCUUGGAGCCUGGAGUUCAAUAUUUGUUAACAGUCUGGUUUCAGCUUGGAGAUGGCUAUCAUAUGGCUUUCUUUGUUCAGUAUCCGGGUUCAUCUGAUACUAGUCACCUCUGCCACCGCACUGAGCUGAUCCUGGGGAAAUCAAAGCCAGGCACCUGCUGUGGAAUUCGACACCACCCUUUGGACCUCAAAGUAACUGGAGACUGGGAGGAUUUAAAACUCACAGUCCAGUCCGAAUGAUGUUCAGAAUGGGUGGGGUCAGCAUGAAAGAUGAGUUGCCUUUAUCAAAGCUCCCCAGAGACAAAAGCAGGCACACGGACAUAAAGUGUGGUGGGAAUAGACCCCUGGUAAGACUGGCAGCAGCACCUGACAUAGCUGGUACCUAUCCUCAGACUAGAGAGCUUUCUGGAACCAAUAAAACAUUCCCGGGGACUGUGCAGCCUGUGUGAUGCAACCCUCACGACAGCGUGGUUGACAUUUACCGACAUACUGCAGAACAUCAGAUUAGUUAAGUGCCAGAGAGAAAAACCAAAUGCAAAGUGUGGCUUGUUCAGUGUUGACAAAAGCAUAUGCUCAUGUAACCCACCCCCUGUCAAGACUGAGAAUGUCACUAUCACUCCAGAGAAGUCUCUUGCAACCCUUCCCAGCUAGUAUCCCUUGAGCUCCCACUGCAGGGAUAGGAUCUAACUUUUUCCCACCAUAGAUUAGUCUAGUCUAUUCUAUAGUUUCAAGCACACAUGUGCAUCUCAGUCAUGCUCACCCACGAGUUAUCACUGAUAAUGUUUUGGUAGGGUCUGGGCCGCAGCCGAUCCUUUUGACAGGGGCACAGUCUCCCAUUGUAUGAACAUGCCAAAAUGUGUUCAUUCAUUCUUCUUUCAAGUGGUCCCCUGAGCAGUUUCCAGUUGUGUGU